ACAUGCCUACAACAUAGCAUUAAUGCACCGGAUCCCAUUAGAACUCCACAGUUAAUCACGUUCAGGCUAGAGUAGUACUGGGAUGGGUGACUUCCUAGGAAUUCCUAGUGUUUUACAUGCC
rnacentral:rRNA from 1 species